UGGGGAAUAUUGGGCAAUGGGCGAAAGCCUGACCCAGCGACGCCGCGUGGGUGAUGAAGGCCUUCGGGUUGUAAAGCCCUUUCGUGCGGAAAGAACAGUCCCGUAAUUAAUAAUUGCGGGAUUUGACGGUACCGCAGGAAGAAGCACCGGCUAACUCCGUGCCAGCAGCCGCGGUAAUACGGAGGGUGCAAGCGUUGUUCGGAAUUAUUGGGCGUAAAGGGCGCGUAGGCGGUUGUGUAAGUCAGAUGUGAAAUACUUCGGCUUAACCGGAGAACUGCAUUUGAAACUGCAUAACUAGAGUACAGGAGAGGGAAACGGAAUUCCCGGUGUAGAGGUGAAAUUCGUAGAUAUCGGGAGGAACACCAGUGGCGAAGGCGGUUUCCUGGCCUGAUACUGACGCUGAGGCGCGAAAGCGUGGGGAGCAAACA
rnacentral:rRNA from 1 species